rnacentral:rRNA from 1 species
GACGAACCGUGCGAACGUUGUUCGGAAUCACUGGGCUUAAAGGGCGCGUAGGCGGCUUGCCAAGUCAGGGGUGAAAUCUUUCGGCUUAACCGGAAAAGUGCCUUUGAUACUGGCGAGCUCGAGGGAGGUAGGGGCAGAUGGAACUUCCGGUGGAGCGGUGAAAUGUGUUGAUAUCGGAAGGAACGCCGGUGGCGAAAGCGAUCUGCUGGACCUCUACUGACGCUGAGGCGCGAAAGCCAGGGGAGCGAACGGG